UCAUUUCUCACUAACUGAAUCUAACAUUACCAAAACUACAACUAUUUCAACUAACUCUGUAAAAGCCUAACAGAAUCAACAGAAUUGAAAACUAACUGAAAUGCUAACAGAAACUUACAUUUGCAACUAAUUCUGAAUUACACAUGAUUUUGAAGGUAAUGUGACGUUCAUUUAUAACUGAAUCUGAAGCUCUAUAAAUUCCAAAACCCUUCACCAAUCCAAGGGGAGUUUUUGUUUCCAUCUCCACCAUUCACCAUUUCACAUACCAGUAAAUCUGUAAACUCUCUGGACUACAAACAUUCAAUCUGGAUUCUCUCAGUCUCACCUUCAUCAGAUUCACACGCUCCAUUCAUGGAGUGAGAACCGAAAACCACAGGAUGCGAAUCACAAAUCCAUAGAGCAUCACUCUCCUAAUCAUUUAUCCCCCUCACUCCGAAGCCUCACAGCAAAACAAUAUCUAGGCUCAGAGAAGCAAUCAAAAAAAGAGGAGGAGCAUUCAAGAGAAGAAGAAGAGCGAAACAAAGUGUAGAAGAGUUACUUGUAAAGCAGCUAAUCCAUCAAAAC
rnacentral:lncRNA from 1 species